GGGGAUUUAGCUCAGUGGUAGAGCGCUUGCCUAGCAAGCUCAAGACCCUGGGUUCGGUCCCCAGCUCCG
rfam:Rattus norvegicus chromosome 5, whole genome shotgun sequence.